ACCUUAAAACUAGCCUACUUACCUUUAAAAAAAUUAACAAUAUUAAUAUUCAAUCUAAACAUCAUAAAAUUAACUAAAACAUUUAUAAUAUUUUAGUAUAGGUGAUAGAACAAAAACUUAGAGCUAUAGAGAAAAGUACCGCAAGGGAAAGUUGAAAAAAAUGAAAAACUUUAAAGUUUAAAAAAGUAGAGAUUAAAUCUCGUACCUUUUGCAUCAUGAUUUAGCUAGAAUAACUAGGCAAAAAGAUUUUUAGUCUACCCUCCCGAAACUAAGCGAGCUACUUCGGAGCAGCAUAAAAGUGCCAACCCAUCUCUGUUGCAAAAGAGUGGGAAGACUCCCAAGUAGGAGCGAAAGACCUACCGAGCUUAGUGAUAGCUGGUUACCCAAAAAAAGAACUUUAGUUCUGCGUUAACUAUUCAACAUUAUCACCCAAGAUAAUCUCAAAAAGACUGUUUGUAAUAAUUAACAGUUAUUCAAAAGAGGUACAGCUCUUUUGAAUUAAGAAACAACUUUUUAAGGAGGAUAAUGAUCAUAUUAAUUAAAAAACUUAAACCCAGUGGGCCUAAAAGCAGCCACCUGUUAAGUAAGCGUCACAGCUCCAAUUAAAUGUAAUUUUAAAUACAGAUAACAAAUCCUACUCCCCUUAUUAAUAUUGGGUUUUUUUAUUAAAUAAUAAAAGAAAUUAUGCUAAAAUGAGUAAUAAGAGGAAAAACCUCUCCCUACACUAGUGUAAACCAGAACGAAUUAAAUCACUGGUAUUUAACCGUCACCAACAGAGGUGAUUAUAUAAUUAAAUAAUAACUAGAAAUACAUAUUAUUUUAAACGUUAAUCCCACACAGGUGUGUAUCUAGGAAAGAUUAAAAGAAAAUAAAGGAACUCGGCAAACAUUAACUCCGCCUGUUUACCAAAAACAUCGCCUCUUGUUCAACAAAUAUAAGAGGUCCCGCCUGCCCUGUGAAUCAUUUUAACGGCCGCGGUAUCCUGACCGUGCAAAGGUAGCGUAAUCACUUGUCUUUUAAUUAAAGACCCGUAUGAAAGGCAUCACGAGAGUUCAUCUGUCUCUAUUUUCCAAUCAAUGAAAUUAGUCCUCUCGUGCAGAAACGAGAAUCUUAAUAUAAGACGAGAAGACCCUAUGGAGCUUUAAAUAAUCAAAUUAAUAAUUUAAAACUUACAAGCUACGGACCUAAACAACAAUAAUUAAAAUAAUUUGACAUUUUUGGUUGGGGCGACCAAGGGGAAAAACAAAACCCCCUCAUCGAUUAAGUAUUUAAUACUUAGAAAAAUAGAAUUACAAUUCUAAUUUACAGAAUAUCUGACGAACCAUGACCCAAGACUUCCUUGAUCAAUGAACCUAGUUACCCUAGGGAUAACAGCGCAAUCCUUUCUAAAAGUUCCUAUCGCCGAAAGGGUUUACGACCUCGAUGUUGGAUCAGGACAUCCUAAUGGUGCAACCGCUAUUAAGGGUUCGUUUGUUCAACGAUUAAUAGUCCUACGUGAUCUGAGUUCAGACCGGAGUAAUCCAGGUCAGUUUCUAUCUAUAAUGAUGUUUUC
rnacentral:rRNA from 1 species